ACAGAGUUUAUUUUUAAUUUUGCUUUGUCAGUCUGUGAAAGUAAUUCAACAGUGUCAUGAUAAUGUACAUAGUUAAUGAAGUUAAUUUAUAUUUAGCUUGGGUCUAAAUCACAUAAUAAAUUAUAAAUGAUAUUUUGAGAAACAUAUUAUGGACAAUUCAAUGGCAGAUUUUUGCAUAAAAAUUAACAGAAGUUGAUUCUAUCUUUCUCCAUAACCACUAUUCAUAAGUUGAAAAAAUGUAGUUUUAAUGAAAAUGUAUUAAAAACUUAGCAACUGCUCUCAUUCUAUAGAAAAUGAAGCCACGGCUGGGCACAAUUCUGGACCUCAUUGGAUAUCUCAGACUUGGAAUGCAGGAAAUUUAAAGCUGUUCUAAAGUGGAUCUUGAAUAAGACUCUGAGACUUCUGUGUG
ensembl:lncRNA novel transcript, sense intronic to ZNF19